rnacentral:tRNA from 1 species
AACUUCUUAUACGUGUUUUGAAAACACUAAGGAGACGAUGUCUAGAAGUUU